rnacentral:rRNA from 1 species
CAGCCGCCGCGGUAAUACGGAGGGUGCAAGCGUUAAUCGGAAUUACUGGGCGUAAAGCGUGCGUAGGCGGUUCGUUAAGUCUGUUGUGAAAGCCCCGGGCUCAACCUGGGAAUGGCAAUGGAUACUGGCGAGCUAGAGUGUGGUAGAGGAUAGUGGAAUUUCCGGUGUAGCAGUGAAAUGCGUAGAGAUCGGAAGGAACAUCUGUGGCGAAGGCGACUAUCUGGGCCAACACUGACACUGAGGCACGAAAGCGUGGGGAGCAAACAGGAUUAGAUACCCCCGUAGUCCCUGUCUCUUAUAC